CCUACGGGAGGCAGCAGUGAGGAAUAUUGGUCAAUGGACGAGAGUCUGAACCAGCCAAGUAGCGUGAAGGAUGACUGCCCUAUGGGUUGUAAACUUCUUUUAUAUGGGAAUAAAACGUUCCACGUGUGGGAUUUUGUAUGUACCAUAUGAAUAAGGAUCGGCUAACUCCGUGCCAGCAGCCGCGGUAAUACGGAGGAUCCGAGCGUUAUCCGGAUUUAUUGGGUUUAAAGGGUGCGUAGGUGGCUGUUUAAGUCAGUUGUGAAAGUUUGCGGCUCAACCGUAAAAUUGCAGUUGAAACUGGCAGUCUUGAGUACAGUAGAGGUAGGCGGAAUUCGUGGUGUAGCGGUGAAAUGCUUAGAUAUCACGAAGAACCCCGAUUGCGAAGGCAGUUCACUGGACUGCAACUGACACUGAGGCUCGAAAGUGUGGGUAUCAAACAGGAUUAGAUACCCGGGUAGUC
rnacentral:rRNA from 1 species